rnacentral:lncRNA from 1 species
GAGACCGGCGUGACCCUCCGGGCGGGAGCAGCAGCCACGCUACCGGAACCCCGCGGGCCUAACCCGGCUCCCUCCCGCCUACACCCCCAUAGACCCCGGCCCGGCUUCAGGUCCCCUGCCCGCUCUUCGCGUCCUUGUCCUGUUCUCACGUCCCUCCUUCCUCCCUUCCCAUCUCCAUCACCGCCAGCAGAUGACCUUGUCAAGGCUGGAAGGGACCGCAAAGAUCCUCAGGUUAGAGGAGGAGAUUAAGACCCAACCCGGGAAGACUGGGGGGUCCAAGGUCCUCGGCCCGCUCGCGCGCGGUCGGUCACCAGCCCCGGCUCACCCGAGUGUGCCCCCGGAGCCCACCUCCUGAAGCGCGCGCUCCUGCUCCAGCGGCACCAGCUCGUGGCCGCGGUGCUCCUGUGCGGCGCAGGCCUCGCACAGACACACGCGCUCCGCGCGGCAGUAGCGCUCGAGCGGCCGUAGGUGGCGCGGGCACAGGCUCUCCUCUAGCCGGCGCAGCGGCGGCACCAGGCGGUGUCCGCGGAGGGCGGGGCUGCGCUCGUGCGGGCCCAGGUGCGCGGGGCAAAAGGAGGCGAGGCAGGAGAGGCAGGACAGCGCGGCGGGCAGGGCCGCGCCCUCGGGGCACGCGUCGCAGCGCACUGGCUCUUCGCCCGCGGGCCACGGCUCGGGAGCGCAGGGGGCCGACGGCUCCGGGACACUGGGCAGCGCGCUGGGUGCCGAGGGCUCCGGGGCCAGGGCAGGGGCCGGGCCGGGGCCGGACCCGGGGCCCGAGCCCUGGCGGAGCUGCAGCAGCUCGGACAGCGUGUGGUUCUUGCGGAGCUGAAGGCCGUCGGGGAAGGGCUCCUGGCACAGCGGGCAGCGGGCCGCGCCUCCGGGUCCGCCGGCUCCACUCGCGCCACGAUGCGGCCAGAGCGCGCCCAGGCAGGCGAGACAGAAGUUGUGGCCGCAGGGCAGCGUCACCGGCUCCCGGAGUGGCUCUAGGCAGAUGGGGCAGCUGAAGGGUCCACUGCCGUCCAUGACUCCGCGGCCGCCCAGGGCGCCGCCGAUUGUG